UUGUGGUGUUAUGUCAUUGUUGACUGUUCAUAUAUACGACCCCUGCAAUUGCAUUGCAGCUUACGUGGGGGGGUUGUAUAACGGUAAACAGAAACCUUUGACAUCAAAGA
rnacentral:pre_miRNA from 2 species